AUCUCCCUCUUGUCUUUUCACACUGUUAUGGCUUUGAAAUUCAGGUCUCUACUGAAUAUCAUAGCUACUCUUUGGGCCUUUCUUGAGCCAGGUGCAACCCAUUGUUGACUGAAGUGGGGUUCGCUCAGGAGUUUGCUUCCUUUGGGUAGAAUCAUAGAAUCAUAGAAUCAUAGAGUUGGAAGAGACCACAAGGGCCAUCGAGUCCAACCCCCUGCCAAGCAGGAAACACCAUCAGAGCACUCCUGACAUAUGGUUGUCAAGCCUCUGCUUAAAGACCUCCAAAGAAGGAGACUCCACCACACUCCUUGGCAGCAAAUUCCACUGUCGAACAGCUCUUACUAUCAGGUAGAUUGUGUGUUUCUUGUAGGAAGGCAAUGUGUGAUUUCAUGGUGUUUACAUACGAGGUGAUGCGGUUUCUUUUGCUGCGGUUUCCCAACCCCCUCAUGUUUAGUUUAAUUGCUUUUAAACUAGCCAUUCUGUUUGUCUACUUUAUAGGUUAAUUCCCUGCCAGCCUGUCUGGGUUGUCCUGUGUCUCUCACUGUGUCUAUCAAACCUAUUGUGUUGCAUUGACAUAAAGUGUGAUGGGUGGGGGAAUAGGUGGAUUAGAGUUAGAUUUGAACUAAAGAGUGGGGGAAAGAUUACAGAAAGUAGCCUAUACAGUGGUACCUCUAGUUACGAACGCUUCAGGUUACAAGCUCUGCUAACCUGGAAGUAGCUGUUCUUGGUUGCGAACUUUGCCCCAGGAUGCGAAUGGGAAUUGCGUGCUGGAGGCGUGCACGCAGCGGGAAGCCCCAUUAGGAAAAGCACGGCUCAGGAUAAGAACGGUUUCAGCUUAAGAAUGGACCUCCGGAACGAAUUAAGUUCA